rnacentral:rRNA from 1 species
UCAGGACAGGCAUAAUCCCCGGGAAACUGGGGCUAAUACCAGAUAGGCACCCUCAACUGGAAUGUGUCGGUGUCGAAAGCUCCGGCGCGUGAGGAUGGGCGUGCGGCAGAUUAGGUUGUUGGCGGGGUAACAGCCCACCAAGCCGACGAUCGGUACGGGCAGUGAGAGCUGUAGCCCGGAGAUGGGGACUGAGACAAGGCCCCAGGCCCUACGGGGCGCAGCAGGCGCGAAACCUUCACAAUGCUCGAAAGAGUGAUGAGGGUACUCCGAGUGCCAGUGCUUAGCACUGGCUUUUCUGCAGCGUAAAUAGUUGAAGGAAUAAGGGCUGGGCAAGACCGGUGCCAGCCGCCGCGGUAACACCGGCAGCCCUAGUGGUGACCGCUUUUAUUGGGCCUAAAGCGUUCGUAGCCGGGCCGGUAAGUCCUUGGGUAAAUCCUGCGUCUCAAGCGCGGGAAUUCUAAGGAUACUACUGGCCUUGAGGCCGGGAUAGGCGAGAGGUACUCCCGGGGUAGGGGUAAAAUCCUAUAAUCCUGGGGGGACCACCGAUGGCGAAGGCAUCUCGCUGGAACGGGCCUGACGGUGAGGGACGAAACCCAGGGGAGCGAGCCGGAUUAGAUACCCGGGUAGUCCUGGGCGUAAAUGAUGUGGGCUUGGUGUGAGCGCAUCGACGAGGUGCGCUUGUGCCGGAGGGAAGCCGUUAAGCCCACCGCCUGGGGAGUACGGUCGCAAGGCUGAAACUUAAAGGAAUUGGCGGGGGAGCACAAGGG